GGGCACAUGGUGUAGUUGGUUAUCACGCCCGCUUAGCAUUGUUCGCUUUCCAGCUUUCAAUGAAUGCGGGCGGUGCCCGGUUCAAUUCCGGGUGUGUCCA